rnacentral:rRNA from 1 species
AGCAGUAGCCGCGGGAAUACGUAGGGGGCAAGCGUUAUCCGGAAUUACUGGGUGUAAAGGGAGCGUAGACGGUUAAACAAGUCUGAAGUGAAAUGCCGGGGCUCAACCCCGGAGCUGCUUUGGGAACUGUAGAACUGGAGUGUCGGAGGGGUAAGCGGAAUUCCCAGUGUAGCGGUGAAACGCGUAGAUAUUGGGAGGAACACCGGCGGCGAAGGCGGCUUACUGGUCUGUAACUGACGCUGAGGCUCGAAAGCGUGGGGAGCAAACAGGAUUAGAUACCCGGGUAGUCCCUGUCUCUUAUAC